CAGUCGCCGCGGUAAUGCGUAGGGUGCGAGCGUUAAUCGGAAUUACUGGGCGUAAAGCGUGCGCAGGCGGUUAUAUAAGACAGAUGUGAAAUCCCCGGGCUCAACCUGGGACCUGCAUUUGUGACUGUAUAGCUAGAGUACGGUAGAGGGGGAUGGAAUUCCGCGUGUAGCAGUGAAAUGCGUAGAUAUGCGGAGGAACACCGAUGGCGAAGGCAAUCCCCUGGACCUGUACUGACGCUCAUGCACGAAAGCGUGGGGAGCAAACAGGAUUAGAUACCCCAGUAGUCCCUGUCUCUUAUCC
rnacentral:rRNA from 1 species